AGCGGGGUUGAGCAGCCAGGAGUGCUCGCCGGGCUCAUACUUGAGUCAGACUUUCGGAAACCCGGAGGUCGUGUGGUUCAAAAUGGGUCUUGGUGAAAGCCAACCCCAGGAACAUCCCACCCCCGCUA
rnacentral:tRNA from 1 species